GAGCGACACUGACGCUGGCGAGAUGCCAAUACGAUGAAGUCGAGACGAGUAUCUCGCAUCUAGUGGCGCACGGGUGCGUAACGCUGGGAAUCUGCCCUUGGGUUCGGAAUAACUUCUGGAAACGGAAGCUAAUACCGGAUGAUGACGUAGGUCCAAAGAUUUAUCGCCCAAGGAUGAGCCCGCGUAGGAUUAGUGUAGUUGGUGAGGUCAAGGCUCACCAAGCCGACGAUCCUUAGCUGGUCUGAGAGGAUGAUCAGCCACACUGGGACUGAGACACGGACCAGACUCAAACGGGAGGCAGCAGUAGGGAAUAUUGGACAAUGGGCGAAAGCCUGAUCCAGCAAUGCCGCGUGAGUGAUGAAGGCCUUAGGGUUGUAAAGCUCUUUUACCCGGGAUGAUAAUGACAGUACCGGGAGAAUAAGCUCCGGCUAACUCCGUGCCAACAGCCGCGGUAAUACGGAGGGAGCUAGCGUAGUAAGGAAUUACUGGGCGUAAAGCGCACGUAGGCGGAUAAUCAAGUUCAGAGGUGAAAAGCCGGGGCUCAAACCCGGAAAUGGCUUUGAAAACUAGAUAGCUUGAAUCCAGAAGAGGUGAGUGGAAAUCCAGAGUUGUAAAGGUGAAAUCCGUAGAUAUCCGGAAGAACACCAGUGGCGAAGGACGGUCCUUGGGCUGGUAUUGACGCUGAGGUGCAGAAGCGUGGGAG
rnacentral:rRNA from 1 species